AUGGCCUACUGCUUCCGCCCAGAUUCUGAAGUGUUUCUCGAUAAAUACUUUUCUAUCCCAGGAGGCCACGGGAGAGGAUACGUCAUAAUCGAACACGGAGGAGAAAAGCGGCGCGGAUGCUGUCAAAUGGACAGAUGAUCUUGUGUGUUUAUCCGGUAGAGGAAUGAUGCCAUCAAAAGCUUUGAAGCUUUUGUGGAGCAGGACCUGCAAGAAAAGGUGACGGCGGGAUUUGUUAGAAAUAAAGAGGAAAGCCCGAAACAAAAUAUAAAGAUGUGAAUGUCCUCAGACUGGUGUGAGCACUGAGGAUGGAGAGCCACAGCAGAUCCUGGGAAUGGUCCAGUGUCAUGGACGAGACCCUCCAUCACUCCUCCUUCCAAGAGUCUUGAUCAAGCACACACUGGAGGAGACGCUGCAGAGAUCGAACCAGCAACCUUCUGCUGACCAGCUCAGUGGUUUAGACCACCACACCACAAAUGUAAUGAAGCUACGACAAAAAUUAGCAAGUAAUUGUAAAAAUAUGAAAUGAAAUAUGGCAAGAAACAGAAUGCUGACAUGAAUGAAUUGUAAAAUGUUUUAAUCUGCUGAUGGAGAGCACAUGAAUGUUUGCAGCAUCCAGAUUGUCCCGCACAUCUUCUCCCACUCCUGCUUCAAGGUUGAGGGGUUCAGGGGUCCAUCAUCAUCAUCAUCAUCCUCUGGAUCAACGAUGUCUCCAUUGAGAAGAGCAGCAGUGAUGGACAUGAUGAUGAAGGUGUUCAUCAGCUGCUUCAUCAGAAUAAAGCAGCAGAAUCGGCACAGCUGUGUGAGAUGGCAGCAGGACUGUAAAUACCUGAUUGUUAGAUCAAUACAUUUGAAUAAAGCAUUGUUUUGUGUGUUGUUGAUUUGUAUAUGCAUUUAUUUAUUGUCAUUAUUACUUUUAUUAAUCCUUUACUUAUUUAUUAAUUAUGCUAUUAUCAGUCAAUUUUUAUACUUUAUUAAGCAAUGAAUUAAUGCAUGAAUUGACUGUAAAUGGAGAUGUAUUCACAUCAGCUGUAUUUGUCUAGUGUGUUCAUGCACA